rnacentral:rRNA from 1 species
UGCCAGCCGCCGCGGUAAUACGGGGGGAGCAAGCGUUGUCCGGAAUCAUUGGGCGUAAAGGGUGCGUAGGCGGGCUAUUAAGUCUGAUGUGAAAGCCCACGGCUUAACCGUGGAGAGUCAUUGGAUACUGAUAGUCUUGAAUCACAGAGGGGCUAGCGGAAUUCCAGGUGUAGGGGUGAAAUCCGUAGAUAUCAGGAGGAACACCGGUGGCGAAGGCGGCUUCCUGGCUCGUUACUGACGCUGAGACGCGAAAGCGUGGGGAGCAAACGGGAUUAGAUA